UCCCUUCCCUUGCGCGCUCGGUCGAAGAGGACGACCAUCCCCGAUAGAGGAGGACCGUUCUUCGGUCAAGGGUAUAUGAGUAGCUGCGCUCCCCUGCUAGAACCUCCAAACAAGCUCUUAAGGUGCAUUUUUAAAUACAAACAACAAC
rnacentral:sRNA from 1 species